rnacentral:rRNA from 1 species
UGCCUAACACAUGCAAGUCGAACGAGAAAGUGAAGCUUGCUUCACAAGUACAGUGGCAAACGGGUGAGUAACACGUGAACAACCUACCCUCGAGUGGGGAAUAACACCGCGAAAGCGGUGCUAAUACCGCAUAAUAUCUCUGAAUCGCAUGGUUUUGAGAUCAAAAGCUUCGGUUGCUUGAGGAGGGGUUCGCGCCUGAUUAGCUUGUUGGUGAGGUAACGGCUCACCAAGGCUGCGAUCAGCAGCCGGCCUGAGAGGGUGAACGGCCACACUGGAACUGAGACACGUUCCAGACUCCUACGGGAGGCAGCAGUGGGGAAUUUUGCGCAAUGGGCGAAAGCCUGACGCAGCAACGCCGCGUGGGGGAUGAAGGCCCUCGGGUCGUAAACUCCUGUCAGUGGGGAAGAAUGCUUCGGUUUGACUGUACCCGCUGAGGAAGCCACGGCUAACUCCGUGCCAGCAGCCGCGGNAAUACGGAGGUGGCAAGCGUUG